GCUGUGUCUCAGGGGAGUUGUCCAGGGUCGCCAUCAUUAAUGGCUGAUAUCCCAGGCCUUGACCACACUCUGAGGCUGUGUCUCAGGGGGAGUUGUCCAGGGUCGCCAUCAUUAAUGGCUGAUAUCCCAGGCCUUGACCACACACUCUGAGGCUGUGUCUCAGGGGGAGUUGGGAUGUGCAAAAAAUAAAUUUCCAAUUCACAUGUGUAAUAAUACAGUCUUGUACAUGUGUGAAAUAGAAUAAAUAAACCCCCACCUAAUUAUUCUUAUUAAUAAGAUUGAAGAGCAACGGCACUUUGGUACACAGUCAAUAGGUUACAUAGCUGAGGGGAUGGAUACGAAGCAGAACAGUAGCUCUCUGCUUCCCCUCCUAUCAGAGAGAAUAAAUCAUUCCAACCACACUGAUAACAGAAAGCCUGUGGUCUUGCUCUCUGGUUUCAAACAAACCCCUCCAGUAUUCACAUAACGGACAGCUUUCUUCCAAAAUGAUAAUACACACAGAAAGUCCAGUUGUAUAAACUCUACUCUGAAUGUUUUGUAUUUUUAUAUAAAGGCCCAGUGCAGUCAAAAACGUGAAUUUCCUGUGUUUUACCAUCCAGUUUAAUAGGUACAACACCAUGUUCACAAAAGUGGAUCACAACGGCAGCAGACACAACGGGCAGCAGACACAAGGGGCAGCAGACACAACGGCAGCAGACACAACGGGCAGCAGACACAAGGGGCAGCAGACACAACGGCAGCAGACACAACGGGCAGCAGACACAACGGCAGCAGACACAACGGGCAGCAGACACAACGGCAGCAGACACAACGGGCAGCAGACACAAGGGGCAGCAGACACAACGGCAGCAGACACAACGGGCAGCAGACACAACGGGCAGCAGACACAACGGGCAGCAGACACAACGGGCAGCAGACACAACGGCAGCAGACACAACGGGCAGCAGACACAAGGGGCAGCAGACACAACGGCAGCAGACACAACGGGCAGCAGACACAACGGGCAGCAGACACAACGGGCAGCAGACACAACGGGCAGCAGACACAACGGCAGCAGACACAAGGGGCAGCAGACACAACGGGCAGCAGACACAACGGGCAGCAGACACAACGGCAGCAGACACAACGGGCAGCAGACACAACGGCAGCAGACACAACGGGCAGCAGACACAACGGGCAGCAGACACAACGGCAGCAGACACAAGGGGCAGCAGACACAACGGGCAGCAGACACAACGGCAGCAGACACAAGGGGCAGCAGACACAACGGCAGCAGACACAACGGGCAGCAGACACAACGGGCAGCAGACACAACGGGCAGCAGACACACGGGCAGCAGACACAACGGGCAGCAGACAACGGGCAGCAGACAACGGGCAGCAGACACAACGGGCAGCAGACACAAGGG
ensembl:lncRNA